GAUGAACGCUGGCGGCGUGCUUAACACAUGCAAGUCGAACGGUAAGGCCCUUCGGGGUACACGAGUGGCGAACGGGUGAGUAACACGUGGGUGAUCUGCCCUGCACUUCGGGAUAAGCCUGGGAAACUGGGUCUAAUACCGGAUAGGACCACUGCCUGCAUGGGUGGUGGUGGAAAGCUUUUGCGGUGUGGGAUGGGCCCGCGGCCUAUCAGCUUGUGGGUGGGGUGAUGGCCUUCCAAGGCGACGACGGGUAGCCGGCCUGAGAGGGUGACCGGCCACACUGGGAGUGAGAUACGGCCCAGACUCCUACGGGAGGCAGCAGUGGGGAAUAUUGCACAAUGGGCGCAAGCCUGAUGCAGCGACGCCGCGUGAGGGAUGACGGCCUUCGGGUUGUAAACCUCUUUCAGCACCGACGAAGCGCAAGUGACGGUAGGUGCAGAAGAAGGACCGGCCAACUACGUGCCAGCCGCCGCAGUAA
rnacentral:rRNA from 1 species